rnacentral:rRNA from 1 species
UACGUAGGGGCUAGCGUUGUCCGGAAUCAUUGGGCGUAAAGCGCGCGUAGGCGGCCCGGUAAGUCCGCUGUAAAAGUCAAAGGCUCAACCUUUGAAUGUCAGUGGAUACUGCCGGGCUAGAGUCCGGAAGAGGCGAGUGGAACUCCUGGUGUAGCGGUGGAAUGCGCAGAUAUCGGGAGGAACACCAGUGGCGAAGGCGACUACCUGGCCUGUUCUUGACGCUGAGGCGCGAAAGCUAGGGGAGCAAACGGGG